rnacentral:rRNA from 1 species
AGAGUUUGAUCWUGGCUCAGAUUGAACGCUGGCGGCAGGCUUAACACAUGCAAGUCGAACGAUGAAGGUCUAGCUUGCUAGACUGGAUUAGUGGCGGACGGGUGAGUAAUGCUUAGGAAUCUGCCUAGUAGUGGGGGAUAGCUUGGGGAAACUCAAAUUAAUACCGCAUAAUUAUCUACGGAUUAAAGUGGGCACUUUGUGCUCACGCUACUAGAUGAGCCUAAGUUAGAUUAGCUAGAUGGUGGGGUAAAGGCCCACCAUGGCGACGAUCUAUAGCUGGUCUGAGAGGAUGAUCAGCCACACUGGGACUGAGACACGGCCCAGACUCCUACGGGAGGCAGCAGUGGGGAAUAUUGGACAAUGGGGGCAACCCUGAUCCAGCCAUGCCGCGUGUGUGAAGAAGGCCUUUAGGUUGUAAAGCACUUUAAGCAGUGAAGAAGACCAUGUGGUUAAUACCCAUAUGCGAUGACAUUAGCUGCAGAAUAAGCACCGGCUAACUCUGUGCCAGCAGCCGCGGUAAUACAGAGGGUGCGAGCGUUAAUCGGAAUUACUGGGCGUAAAGCGAGCGUAGGUGGCUUAAUAAGUCAGAUGUGAAAUCCCCGGGCUUAACCUGGGAACUGCAUCUGAAACUGUUAAGCUAGAGUAGGUGAGAGGGAAGUAGAAUUCCAGGUGUAGCGGUGAAAUGCGUAGAGAUCUGGAGGAAUACCGAUGGCGAAGGCAGCUUCCUGGCAUCAUACURACASUGAGGUUCGAAAGCGUGGGUAGCAAACAGSAUUAGAUACCCUGGUAGU